rnacentral:rRNA from 1 species
CAAUCCAUGAGUAAAGUGGCGACCGGGUGAGUAACACGUGACUAACCUACCUCCAAGUGGGGAAUAACUCCGGGAAACCGGGGCUAAUACCGCAUAACAUCGCAAGAUCAAAGCAGCAAUGCGCUGGGAGAGGGGGUCGCGGCUGAUUAGCUAGUUGGCGGGGUAACGGCCCACCAAGGCGAAGAUCGGUAUCCGGCCUGAGAGGGCGCACGGACACACUGGAACUGAAACACGGUCCAGACUCCUACGGGAGGCAGCAGUGGGGAAUUUUGCGCAAUGGGGGAAACCCUGACGCAGCAACGCCGCGUGGAGGAUGAAGUCCCUUGGGACGUAAACUCCUUUCGACCAAGACGAUAAUGACGGUACUGGUGGAAGAAGCACCGGCUAACUCUGUGCCAGCAGCCGCGGUAAUACAGAGGGUGCGA